rnacentral:rRNA from 1 species
CCCGCACAAGCGGUGGAGCAUGUGGUUAAUUCGAAGCAACGCGAAGAACCUUACCAGGUCUUGACAUCCCGAUGCUAUUUCUAGAGAUAGAAAGUUACUUCGGUACAUCGGUGACAGGUGGUGCAUGGUUGUCGUCAGCUCGUGUCGUGAGAUGUUGGGUUAAGUCCCGCAACGAGCGCAACCCUUAUCUUUAAUUGCCAGCAUUCAGUUGGGCACUUUAAAGAGACUGCCGGUGUUAAACCGGAGGAAGGUGGGAUGACGUCAAGUCCUCAUGGCCUUUAUGCUUAGGGCUACACACGUGCUACAAUGGGUGGUACAAAGAGAAGCCAACUCGCGAGAGCGCGCCAAUCUCAAAAAGCCAUCCUCAGUUCGGAUUGGAGUCUGCAACUCGACUCCAUGAAGUUGGAAUCGCUAGUAAUCGCGGAUCAGCAUGCCGCGGUGAAUACGUUCCCGGGCCUU